CCGCAUCGGGACGGGCCCGCGGCCCAUUAGCUUGUUGGUGGGGUAACGGCCUACCAAGGCGACGAUGGGUAGCUGGUCUGAGAGGACGAUCAGCCACACUGGGACUGAGACACGGCCCAG
rnacentral:rRNA from 1 species